UACGUAUGGGGCGCGCGUUGUUCGGAAUUACUGGGCGUAAAGGGCGUGUAGGUGGUGAGGUAAGUCGGAUGUGAAAUCUCAGGGCUCAACCCUGAAAUUGCAUUCGAAACUGUCUCGCUAGAGUUUCGGAGAGGGAGACGGAAUUCCCGGUGUAGGGGUGAAAUCUGUAGAUAUCGGGAAGAACACCGGUGGCGAAGGCGGUCUUCUGGCCGAAUACUGACACUGAGGCGCGAAAGCUAGGGGAGCAAACAGG
rnacentral:rRNA from 1 species